UACGUAGGGUGCAAGCGUUAAUCGGAAUUACUGGGCGUAAAGCGUGCGCAGGCGGUUUUGCAAGCCGGAUGUGAAAUCCCCGGGCUCAACCUGGGAACGGCAUUUGGGACUGCAAGGCUCGAGUGCGGCAGAGGAGACUGGAAUUCCUGGUGUAGCGGUGAAAUGCGCAGAUAUCAGGAGGAACACCGAUGGCGAAGGCAGGUCUCUGGGCCACUACUGACGCUGAGAAGCGAAAGCAUGGGGAGCGAACAGG
rnacentral:rRNA from 1 species